CCAACCAAACAACAACAUUUUAAUCGUACCCUCAGAAUCAUCAGCACAUAGCCUUCACAGGAACUUUGACAUAAAAUAAUAGGUUUCACAGCAUAUAAAGUCAAAUUAUAAGGAUAACAUGCAAGCAAAGCAUAGGGCCACCGAAAGGCCAUUUGUAUAUACAUCCCAACACUUCAUGUUCAGCAGUUCAUUAGGUGCCAAGUCUUUGUGCUCAAAUUUUUGCCCUACACGUGAGAAGUCAAUCCCUUGUGCUGUUCUUGAGCCAUUCUAGGUAUGGAAUGCUGCCACCAGUUAUAGGCAAGGAGAUUACUUCUGGUACCUCAUAUUCAUGAUUUGCCUUGACAUGCUCUGUUAGUGCUUCCAACAGAGAUUGCCUAGUCUUGAUUAUAAGUAGCUCCUCUGAAUCUGUCUGGACCUCUCCCUUCCACUCAUAUACUGAUUCAAUACCUGGUACUAUGUUCACACAUGCUGCUAGUUUCUCUUUGAUUAUGCUUUGAGCCAACUUUUUUCCUGCAUCUCGGUUAGGGACAGUAACGUACACAACGAUACUGGGUACAGUGUUGCCACUUGCUUCCAUUUUGAUAGUAUUAGCUUGCGAUUGGGUGCUAAACUUUGAUCUCAACAGAGAUACAAAGGGGAGAGAUUGAGCGCAACCCGUCUUGAGGGAAGAGGAGAGAGUGGGGCAAAGAUUGGAGAGGCCGAAGCUCAGCAUGCAAAAUGCCCCAACUAGGGGCAAACGCCUUCGAAUUGCAGAAGAAGAGAAGACAGAUGCAGCUCCAGCCGAACACAUGGCGUAAGCCAUUCUGUGUUUAUAUACACCGACGGUUUCAUUUGCUUGGGUUCGGAGCCAUGCUCUGAUAC
rnacentral:misc_RNA from 1 species